GACGAACGCUGGCGGCGUGCUUAACACAUGCAAGUCGAACGGAAAGGCCCUGCUUUUGUGGGGUGCUCGAGUGGCGAACGGGUGAGUAACACGUGAGUAACCUGCCCUUGACUUUGGGAUAACUUCAGGAAACUGGGGCUAAUACCGGAUAGGAGCUCCUGCUGCAUGGUGGGGGUUGGAAAGUUUCGGCGGUUGGGGAUGGACUCGCGGCUUAUCAGCUUGUUGGUGGGGUAGUGGCUUACCAAGGCUUUGACGGGUAGCCGGCCUGAGAGGGUGACCGGCCACAUUGGGGGUGAGAUACGGCCCAGAGUCCUACGGGAGGCAGCAGUGGGGAAUAUUGCACAAUGGGCGGAAGCCUGAGGCAGCAACGCCGCGUGCGGGAUGACGGCCUUCGGGUUGUAAACCGCUUUCGCCUGUGACGAAGCGUGAGUGACGGUAAUGGGUAAAGAAGCACCGGCUAACUACGUG
rnacentral:rRNA from 1 species